GUAGGGGGCGAVCGUUGUCCGGAAUUACUGGGCGUAAAGAGCACGUAGGCGGGUAUUUAAGUCAGGUGUGAAAGACCGCGGCCCAACUGCGGGGUUGCACUUGAAACUGAAUAUCUUGAGGGCAGGAGAGGUCAGUGGAAUUCCUGGUGUAGCGGUGAAAUGCGUAGAUAUCAGGAGGAACACCAGUGGCGAAGGCGACUGACUGGACUGACCCUGACGCUGAGGUGCGAAAGCGUGGGUAGCAAACAGGAUUAGAUACCCUGGUAGUCCACGCCGUAAACGAUGGAUACUAGGUGUGGGAGGUAUCGACCCCUUCCGUGCCGGAGCUAACGCAAUAAGUAUCCCGCCUGGGGAGUACGGUCGCAAGGCUG
rnacentral:rRNA from 1 species